rnacentral:rRNA from 1 species
GGGUUGUGAGGUUAAGCGACUAAGCGUACACGGUGGAUGCCCUGGCAGUCAGAGGCGAUGAAGGGCGUGCUAAUCUGCGAUAAGCGCCGGUAAGGUGAUAUGAACCGUUAUAACCGGCGAUACCCGAAUGGGGAAACCCAGUGUGACUCGUCACACUAUCAUUAACUGAAUCCAUAGGUUAAUGAGGCGAACCGGGGGAACUGAAACAUCUAAGUACCCCGAGGAAAAGAAAUCAACCGAGAUUCCCCCAGUAGCGGCGAGCGAACGGGGAGGAGCCCAGAGCCUGAAUCAGCAUGUGUGUUAGUGGAAGCGUCUGGAAAGGCGCGCGAUACAGGGUGACAGCCCCGUACACAAAAGCGCAUGUGCUGUGAGCUCGAUGAGUAGGGCGGGACACGUGGUAUCCUGUCUGAAUAUGGGGGGACCAUCCUCCAAGGCUAAAUACUCCUGACUGACCGAUAGUGAACCAGUACCGUGAGGGAAAGGCGAAAAGAACCCCGGCGAGGGGAGUGAAAAAGAACCUGAAACCGUGUACGUACAAGCAGUGGGAGCACAGGUUUACCUGUGUGACUGCGUACCUUUUGUAUAAUGGGUCAGCGACUUAUAUUCUGUAGCAAGGUUAACCGAAUAGGGGAGCCGUAGGGAAACCGAGUCUUAACCGGGCGUUAAGUUGCAGGGUAUAGACCCGAAACCCGGUGAUCUAGCCAUGGGCAGGUUGAAGGUUGGGUAACACUAACUGGAGGACCGAACCGACUAAUGUUGAAAAAUUAGCGGAUGACCUGUGGCUGGGGGUGAAAGGCCAAUCAAACCGGGAGAUAGCUGGUUCUCCCCGAAAGCUAUUUAGGUAGCGCCUCGUGAAUUCAUCUCCGGGGGUAGAGCACUGUUUCGGCUAGGGGGCCAUCCCGGCUUACCAACCCGAUGCAAACUGCGAAUACCGGAGAAUGUUAUCACGGGAGACACACGGCGGGUGCUAACGUCCGUCGUGAAGAGGGAAACAACCCAGACCGCCAGCUAAGGUCCCAAAGUCAUGGUUAAGUGGGAAACGAUGUGGGAAGGCCCAGACAGCCAGGAUGUUGGCUUAGAAGCAGCCAUCAUUUAAAGAAAGCGUAAUAGCUCACUGGUCGAGUCGGCCUGCGCGGAAGAUGUAACGGGGCUAAACCAUGCACCGAAGCUGCGGCAGCGAACGUAUCACCCAAGACAACUUUACGGAGUUGACGAUUGACGGAGCGAAGCGACGUCAAAGCGUUCAUUAAAGUCGAGUUGGCUUAGGGAUACGUUCGUUGGGUAGGGGAGCGUUCUGUAAGCCUGUGAAGGUGGCCUGUGAGGGUUGCUGGAGGUAUCAGAAGUGCGAAUGCUGACAUAAGUAACGAUAAAGCGGGUGAAAAGCCCGCUCGCCGGAAGACCAAGGGUUCCUGUCCAACGUUAAUCGGGGCAGGGUGAGUCGACCCCUAAGGCGAGGCCGAAAGGCGUAGUCGAUGGGAAACGGGUUAAUAUUCCCGUACUUGGUGUUACUGCGAAGGGGGGACGGAGAAGGCUAUGUUGGCCGGGCGACGGUUGUCCCGGUUUAAGCGUGUAGGCUGGUUUUCCAGGCAAAUCCGGAAAAUCAAGGCUGAGGCGUGACGACGAGGCACUACGGUGCUGAAGCAACAAAUGCCCUGCUUCCAGGAAAAGCCUCUAAGCAUCAGGUAACAUCAAAUCGUACCCCAAACCGACACAGGUGGUCAGGUAGAGAAUACCAAGGCGCUUGAGAGAACUCGGGUGAAGGAACUAGGCAAAAUGGUGCCGUAACUUCGGGAGAAGGCACGCUGACACGUAGGUGAAGUGAUUUACUCAUGGAGCUGAAGUCAGUCGAAGAUACCAGCUGGCUGCAACUGUUUAUUAAAAACACAGCACUGUGCAAACACGAAAGUGGACGUAUACGGUGUGACGCCUGCCCGGUGCCGGAAGGUUAAUUGAUGGGGUCAGCGCAAGCGAAGCUCCUGAUCGAAGCCCCGGUAAACGGCGGCCGUAACUAUAACGGUCCUAAGGUAGCGAAAUUCCUUGUCGGGUAAGUUCCGACCUGCACGAAUGGCGUAAUGAUGGCCAGGCUGUCUCCACCCGAGACUCAGUGAAAUUGAACUCGCUGUGAAGAUGCAGUGUACCCGCGGCAAGACGGAAAGACCCCGUGAACCUUUACUAUAGCUUGACACUGAACAUUGAGCCUUGAUGUGUAGGAUAGGUGGGAGGCUUUGAAGCGUGGACGCCAGUCUGCGUGGAGCCGACCUUGAAAUACCACCCUUUAAUGUUUGAUGUUCUAACGUGGACCCGUAAUCCGGGUUGCGGACAGUGUCUGGUGGGUAGUUUGACUGGGGCGGUCUCCUCCUAAAGAGUAACGGAGGAGCACGAAGGUUGGCUAAUCCUGGUCGGACAUCAGGAGGUUAGUGCAAUGGCAUAAGCCAGCUUGACUGCGAGCGUGACGGCGCGAGCAGGUGCGAAAGCAGGUCAUAGUGAUCCGGUGGUUCUGAAUGGAAGGGCCAUCGCUCAACGGAUAAAAGGUACUCCGGGGAUAACAGGCUGAUACCGCCCAAGAGUUCAUAUCGACGGCGGUGUUUGGCACCUCGAUGUCGGCUCAUCACAUCCUGGGGCUGAAGUAGGUCCCAAGGGUAUGGCUGUUCGCCAUUUAAAGUGGUACGCGAGCUGGGUUUAGAACGUCGUGAGACAGUUCGGUCCCUAUCUGCCGUGGGCGCUGGAGAACUGAGGGGGGCUGCUCCUAGUACGAGAGGACCGGAGUGGACGCAUCACUGGUGUUCGGGUUGUCAUGCCAAUGGCACUGCCCGGUAGCUAAAUGCGGAAGAGAUAAGUGCUGAAAGCAUCUAAGCACGAAACUUGCCCCGAGAUGAGUUCUCCCUGAGACUUUAGGUCUCCUGAAGGAACGUUGAAGACGACGACGUUGAUAGGCCGGGUGUGUAAGCGCAGCGAUGCGUUGAGCUAACCGGUACUAAUGAACCGUGAGGCUUAACCUUACAACGCCGAAG